GAAACAUGUCAUUAUGCCCAGAUGAAAUCCGGUACUUUAUUUAUAUCAUCAAUCCAUUGCAUAAUAUAAACACACUUAUAAUUACACAAAUCUUAAACUAGAAUAAAUCUAGAACUAGACUAAGUGUAAAUAGUAGUACUAAGACAGUACUAAACAUAGUCUAAAACUAUACUAUUUACAAUAAUUAGUACUAACUAGUACUAAACAGAG
rnacentral:lncRNA from 1 species